AUUGAACGCUGGCGGCAUGCCUUACACAUGCAAGUCGAACGGCAGCAUGAUCUAGUUUGCUAGAUUGAUGGCGAGUGGCGAACGGGUGAGUAAUACAUCGGAACGUGCCCUGUAGUGGGGGGAUAACUAGUCGAAAGAUUAGCUAAUACCGCAUACGACCUGAGGGUGAAAGUGGGGGACCGCAAGGCCUCAUGCUAUAGGAGCGGCCGAUGUCUGAUUAGCUAGUUGGUGAGGUAAAGGCUCACCAAGGCGACGAUCAGUAGCUGGUCUGAGAGGACGAUCAGCCAAGCUGGGACUGAGACACGGCCCGGACUCCUACGGGAGGCAGCAGUGGGGAAUUUUGGACAAUGGGGGCAACCCUGAUCCAGCAAUGCCGCGUGUGUGAAGAAGGCCUUCGGGUUGUAAAGCACUUUUGUCCGGAAAGAAAUCGCACUUACUAAUAUUAGGUGUGGAUGACGGUACCGGAAGAAUAAGGACCGGCUAACUACGUGCCAGCAGCCGCCGUAAUAC
rnacentral:rRNA from 1 species